rnacentral:rRNA from 1 species
AUUGAACGCUGGCGGCAGGCCUAACACAUGCAAGUCGAACGGUAACAGGAAACAGCUUGCUGUUUCGCUGACGAGUGGCGGACGGGUGAGUAAUGUCUGGGAAACUGCCUGAUGGAGGGGGAUAACUACUGGAAACGAUAGCUAAUACCGCAUAACGUCGCAAGACCAAAGAGGGGGACCCUCGGGCCUCUUGCCAUCGGAUGUGCCCAGAUGGGAUUAGCUUGUUGGUGGGGUAACGGCUCACCAAGGCGACGAUCCCUAGCUGGUCUGAGAGGAUGACCCGCCACACUGGAACUGAGACACGGUCCAGACUCCUACGGGAGGCAGCAGUGGGGAAUAUUGCACAAUGGGCGCAAGCCUGAUGCAGCCAUGCCGCGUGUAUGAAGAAGGCCUUCGGGUUGUAAAGUACUUUCAGCGGGGAGGAAGGGAGUAAAGUUAAUACCUUUGCUCAUUGACGUUACCCGCAGAAGAAGCACCGGCUAACUCCGUG